rnacentral:lncRNA from 1 species
GCCAAUCAGUGCAAAUGGUAGUUAGCAACUACUUGUGCACUGCUGCCUGAGCAAGUACCUCAAUCACACAACUGGCUUUGUGCAACAGCACAGGGACAAGUGGCUGAUUGUUUCCUGGCAUCUGCAAGACCUGCCAAAUAUGAAGGUCUUCGCCUGUUUUGUGCUCCUGUGCGUUGCUGUAGCAAUUUCAGCAACGCGCAGUAAACACCAUGAUGGCCAUGGAAGCAACACAGACGAUACUUCUGGAAAGGGUCGCCGGCCUGGACAGCAAAUUGGGUCACCUGACGAUGAGAGUACAUCACGAAGUUUUUCAAGUAGUGACCGUGGCAGCCAGAGUGCAGGAAGUGUUCUCGGUGGAUCGCAGGCGUUACACGAAGGCCAGGAGGGUCGAAGUUAUGUCGGAGGUCAAAGAAGGGCCGACAAACAGGGUACUAAUAUUGGAAGCCGCGACAUUAGUAGCCAGCCACGUGCAAAUCCGUUCCAAAAUAUGGGUAAUAGCGAAAGUGCUCAAUCUGCAUCUAACUCAGCGCAGUCAGGUGCCGCUCGCAAUGGAAAUGGCGGCCUUGAAGACUUCAGUCGUGCCUACAGAAAUGGCUAUCGCCCUCGCGGUCCUUUUGAAUAUGACAGGCUGAGUAGGGAAGAAGGACAGCAAAAUGGAAGAAGUUUUCGCCGACCAUCACGCAAAGAUGACGACAGUGGGAGUUGGGAAGGAGAGCAAAAUGGACGACGUUUUCGCCGACCGACAUGGAGAGAUGACGACAGCCGCAGUAGCGAAGAAGAAAGACCACCACGUCGCAGAAAUUUUGAACCACGCUACCGGGAUGAGUACGGCAGCCGCAGCAGUGAGGAGUACAGACCUAGAAGAGAAAGCGGUCGCCCGUAUCCGAGGCGUGGCGGUGAGGACAG